AGCAUGCGACGCGAGGGCAGGCCUGACUAGCGCAGUGGAGCGAGCAGGGCAGCAGGCGACCGCGAGGAUGAAGAAUAGUGCUGCUGAAACUAGCUUAUUUGCAUUGUGGGAAAAAACUUCAAAAGCAAAAAAGGAAAGACAUAAAAAGAUGAAUACCUAGCGUCUAAUACCUGGCGCGGCCAGUGGUACCAUCUUGCAAGGAUAAGAAGACAACCAUAUAUAGUGUUGACGGUAGCUCGAAGACUACGGGAACUCGAGAGCGGAGAAGGCAUGACUAGGAGUAGGGUGCCGUCGCAGACGGUCUGGCCAUGUCCUCUUGCUCCACUCCACGACAUCUACCUACAAGUGAUCGGGUAAGAUUUGUCGACCUCUAGAUGACUAUAAUUGGUGCUUUAUGGACUUAUGAAAGUUUCUUUUUGGUGAUUACAUAUGUGGGUAGUUGUCUGGGGUAUGCUUCCUCCUUACACACGGUUGGAUCCAAGAGUCCUGGUAGAUUUUCGUUUGGCUCACCAUAAUCAACGAGAGCGGCUGCCUGCGUGUGCUCUGUGGUGUUGAGCCUCCCUACGUGUCCGCAUAAUUGAGGAAGACUUCUGUAGUUGUUGCCGCAAUUGAGGGUGAGCACAACAUGACUGAUUGCAUUCUUUGUUGGUUAACUCACAAUGAACAUGAACAUGAACAAUUGACUAUUGAUUACUGGAUGUGUUAGUUCUUCCUGCCGUCUUCGAUGGAUUUUAUCGACAAUAUGUCAUUUGAGCAGGAGAUUAGCUGAUGGCCACCUCUUCCAUCUAAAAAUAUGUUAUCCUACUUUACGAUUAGUAGGAUCAGCAAGAACAAGUGAUAGCUAAACAGGCACACACUAAUUGGAUAUUGAUUUCUGUUUUCUAGAAUGUAUCUUUCCUGCAAGCAAAAAACGAACAUGGUCGUAGAUACGCGGCUGCACUUGUAGUUCGUCCUUUGUACUUUAUUAAUUAGGACCUUUGGGCUAGCAGGAGAUUACUUAUUACUUAAAGUUUUAAAGUGGUGUCCAUAUAGUACAUAAAAAUGUAAGUAUAUCGGCCGGUUCUUAAUCUAAGGAAUAUGUUUAAAUGUAAAAAAAAGCAGUAUGUUUAUUUGAGAAUUUUACAUAGCCUCCACGACCGUCAGUUGUGUUUAAGUCAUAGUUUCAGCAAAUCACCAUCAAUUAGUAGGGAAUGGGUUUAGCAAGUUUGAGCUGUGGAGAUGCCGAUUUGACGUAUUUUCUUUUCCAGUUUAUACAACGACUUGGGAUUAUUAUUUGGACUUCGUUAUCCAGACUCACAAGUGUCAAAAGUAUGUGUGUGAUUCAGGGAAUCAUUCAAAUAUAAUACUGGCAAAUGUCUACACUCUACACUGAAUCUUUUAUACAUCUUGAUGAUUGUGAAGUGGGUCUUUGAAUGGUUAGAUUUGCGUGACUUUUUUUAGCACAGAAUAGCAAUUUCAAUGCCAUUCCUUAUUGAUCAAAAAAGUAUCCGAUUUUUUUAGAUUCCAUUAUGUCAAAAUUUCUAUGCUACGAAAAUAGCUUUCAAUACAAAUGCAGUAUGUAUUUUAACAAUGUGAUUUUGGCUUUUUAUACAUGUGUUAACAUUUAAGGUAGCAGAGUUGCAGUCUUGGCAACCUGCAGGGUUUCUUUGACAAUGGACACAAAUGGAGCCAGAUUGAGUGGUUGAGCCCUAUGUCAGGCAAUUAUAUGGCAAUUUACUGAUCCAAGUGUAACUGUUUUGGUUUUAUGUGACUUUUGUCUUCAGUUCAUAUUACACAGGUUGUCACUAUAUGUUCUAACUAGAAUUUAGCACGAAAGUUGUGUUUGUGACUAAAAGUUUAGCAUCUGUAGAACAAAUAGCGUAUUUUUAUGCACUAUUUGUCGGUUGUCGCAGAAAAUAAGGUCCACAUUGUUCAGCCAUGUUGAGAACAGAGAAAACAUGUGCAAUAUCAGGCAUUUCAUUAUACAGUGGUACGUAAUUAAUAUGUAGCUUCUCUAUUUUGCGAAUGACCGUCACUGUAAGCCUUAAGUUAUGGUCCUAUUGAAUUUUCUCCAUCAUAUAAGGUUACUUUUUUGCAGCUACGAAGUGGCUCAAGGAAAAUCUUGUGUAUUGUGUGGCUGACCAAAGGCAAAGACAAAGAGGCCAGAGUGACACAAUGGCAGGGUUGGUCCCCAGUAACCGGAUGGGUCGUAUACAUCAUCAACCAAACAAGGGAUCCUAUGACAUGAAGAGAACAUAGAAGUAAGUCAAUCACCCCUUAAGGAUCCGCUUCAGUAAAAAAACGGUUGUAAUUGAAAUGCUUCUACAACUGGAGAACUUCUCUAUGCCUACAGAAUUUUUCCAUUAAGAGAGUGAGAAAAUUGAAUGGAUCGAAGAAUUAUGUUUCCAGGUCAAAAAAAUAAAUCAUUGGUUUAUGUAUAUAUAAUAACCUUCAAAUGCAUGAUGUAAUAUUUGCACUAACACUAUUUGAAUUUGCAGAAGUCUGGUUUGGUUACUGUGGUCCCUAAUGUUACACCUCCUUCCAGAGCAGCUAAAUAGAAAAAAACGGCACAUUUACAUCAUUCAUGGGAGACACGUGGAAACAUUACUGGUUUCCAAAAUGUGCCAUCGUAAGAUAUAUGUCAAGCUUUACAUGAAAACAGCCACUGUUAAUCUAUUCAUGAGCCAGUUGUAGAUAUUUCAUCGACAUGGCACUUGGCCAGUUUUUUGGGGAGAUCAUCCGUUCCAGCAUAGAACUUUUCUCAUUCUACGACUAUGUCUAACGUUUCACAAUUAGACUAUAAGUAGUGUCUGAAUGCUGGUAUGUUGGCGUUUAAUAGCACUUCUGUUACCAGGUGGUACAUCACCAUAUAGUCCAAGUGGCGGCAAUUCAAGAAAGGUGAUGUAUGUAAAGCAAGAUAAUACUCUGGUGAAGUAUUGACCUCUGUUGACUUAUAGACAAGUGAUGCUUUUUUACAGUACACAUACAUUGCUAUUUCAAAUUGAGUGCCAUGGUGGAAAUCACACUCGAAACGAGUACCUUUGAUGACUUAUAAACAAGUGACGUGUGUGAAGAGUACAAAUACAAUGAUGUUUCAAAUUGAGUUCCACGAUGAAAACAACUA